GUGCUAGGGUUUCCUUUCACUUCCCUCUUUGUUCAUCUCGCCGCCAUCACUUUCCCCUUAUAAAUACAGUCAUUGAGGAUCACCAAUUUCAACACAAGCAGUUCUAUUCUCCUCCAAUGCUUUCUGUUUCUCACGAAGACGUAUUUUGAACAUCUUGAUGGAAGAUUACUGAGCUCAACAGUUUUGUUAGGGUUUAUGUUCCUUUAAUUUUAAGCCGUUUUAUGAGUUGUUUUUGACUUAAGAUGUGAUUUCUUCUGAAGUGAAGGAAAAUUUAGAAAUUGGAAUAGAAUAUUUUCACAAUGUAUAAGCUCUAUCCGAUAUUUCUCAAUUUCAUACCGUUUUUAUUUUAAAGCUUUUGAGAUAUGAAGGUUCGUUUGUUGAUUGAA